AAAAAAAAAAAACACAAAAUCAAGGGCAGCACUGGGUUUUUCUUUUUUAUUGUAUCUAUAUUGAAAGCUAGCUUAACUCACUGUUCUCAUCUUAAUUUGUAAUGUUCUGGUGUGCAAGUAUCUACAAGAAUCAACAGUGGGUUGAGUCCAUUGUUGAUCUAAUGAAAUUCAAAAUGUGAGUUCAGUCCAUCAUUGAACGAGAAAGAUGGAUUCCACAUGCUAGCGAGAGUCUUUGUAAGAUACAGGCUUUUGUUUCCAUAUUUAAGGUUGGACCAUUUUUUUGUUUGUUCUGGGUGGCUUAAUGCCAGUCUAUGUUUGAUCACUUGACUCUUCCCUUAGUACAUCACUUGUACCAAUCAAAAUCCUUCUCUGGGCCUACUUGUACCAUCCCAUAGGUGACAUUAUUCCCACUCCUGAAUUGACUAACCCCAGUGCUGUGAACGCAAAUGUAUAGGAACCCUCAAUCUCUCUUCAGGACACAUCAUUACAUACGACUAAAUAUUAGAAUCCCAUCCUAAGCCUGACACUAUCAUGCCAUAGAUUGCUCUGACCUGUUGUUGACUACUGUAUGUUAAUAUUUGUUGUAUGUUGUUUGUUUUAUUUGUCAUUCAUUUAAUAUGGGUGCUUUUUUUUUAAAGCGUUCAUGUUUUUUUUUUUUUUUUUUUUUUUUU